rnacentral:rRNA from 1 species
CCUACGGGAGGCUGCAGUGGGGAAUAUUGGACAAUGGGGGGAACCCUGAUCCAGCGACGCCGCGUGAGUGAAGAAGGAUUUCGGGAUGUAAAGCUCUAUCAGCAGGGAAGAAAAUGACGGUACCUGACUAAGAAGCCCCGGCUAACUACGGGCCAGCAGCCGCGGGAAUACGUAGGGGGCAAGCGUUAUCCGGAUUUACUGGGUGUAAAGGGAGCGUAGCCGGUGCCGCAAGUCUGAUGUGAAAGGUCGGGGCCCAACCCCGGGACUGCAUUGGAAACUGUUGAACUGGAGUACAGGAGAGGUAAGCGUACUUCCUAUUGUAGCGGUGAAAUGCGUAGAUAUUAGUAGGAACACCAGUGGCGAAGGCGGCUUACUGGACUGUAACUGACGUUGAGGCUCGAACGCGUGGGGAGCAAACAGGAUUAGAUACCCUGGUAGUC